rnacentral:rRNA from 1 species
AGCGAACGCUGGCGGCAGGCUUAACACAUGCAAGUCGAGCGGGCAUCCUUGUGGUGUCAGCGGCAGACGGGUGAGUAACGCGUGGGAACGUGCCCUUCGGUUCGGAAUAACUCAGGGGAACUUGAGCUAAUACCGGAUACGUGCGAGAGCAGAAAGGUUUAUCUGCCGAAGGAUCGGCCCGCGUCUGAUUGGCUAGUUGGUGAGGUUACGGCUCACCAAGGCGUCGUUCAGUAGCUGGUCUGGGAGGAUGAUCAGCCACACUGGGAAUGAGACACGGCCCAGACUCCUACGGGAGGCAGCAGUGGGGAAUAUUGGACGAGGGGGGCAACCCUGAUCCAGCCAUGCCGGGUGAGUGAUGACGGCCGUAGGGUUGUAAAGCUCUUUUCUCCGGGACGAUAAUGACGGUACCGGAGGAAUAAGCCCCGGCUAACUUCGUG